AACGAACGCUGGCGGCAGGCCUAACACAUGCAAGUCGAACGCACCGCAAGGUGAGUGGCGCACGGGUGAGUAACACGUGGGAAUGUACCCUUUGGUUCGGAAUAACGUUUGGAAACGAACGCUAAUACCGGAUGAGCCCUACGGGGGAAAGAUUUAUCGCCAAAGGAGCAGCCCGCGUCUGAUUAGCUAGUUGGUGGGGUAAAGGCCUACCAAGGCGACGAUCAGUAGCUGGUCUGAGAGGAUGAGCAGCCACACUGGGACUGAGACACGGCCCAGACUCCUACGGGAGCCAGCAGUGGGGAAUAUUGGACAAUGGGCGCAAGCCUGAUCCAGCCAUGCCGCGUGAGUGAUGAAGGCCUUCGGGUUGUAAAGCUCUUUCGCACGCGACGAUGAUGACGGUAGCGUGAGAAGAAGCCCCGGCUAACUUCGUGCCAGCCGCCGCGGUAAUAC
rnacentral:rRNA from 1 species